GUCAAAUCACGGAAAGGAAACUAAAAAUGCAUUACGCUUUUCAUACUCUUUCCUCCCUUUUAUCUCUCAACCAUUCAUUUCUCAGCAAUCCAUUAUCAUUCGAUUUUAAACCUUCGUUUCAUUCAAUCGGCCGACCAUCGAUCUCUUUCGUCAAUCUUCUUUGUUGAGCAACUCUGAAGAUCAUAUAUAUAGUAUAUAUCAUUUGAGCUUCUUCGUCUAUCUUCUCCAACGUUCUCUCUUUUGUUCUCCUUCAUUUGGCUCGAGAAACUCCUCGUGACCGUCUACCAUUAAGCAUCUAUGUAUAAUUCUUGUUCUUCCCUUUAAUUUUCGAGCAGUGGGUCACUACAAACAGAGAAAAUUCUAUUUUUCUCCUACUUUUUCCCUUUGAUUUUUGAGCAGUGGGUCUUUAAGAUCAAACCAUUUAUUUAAAUUACUACCAUUCAAAACAUUUCUAGGUCACUGGAAACAGAGAAAAGUUAUGGGUCUUGUUUAGUUAUUUUUCUUGAAGAAAAUUUAUGUGUUUUUUUAAUAUUGAAUGUUAUUUGCUCUUAAAAUUUCUCUCUUUCUUGCUUUUUACUUGGUAAAAAUAAAAACUAGAGAUCUCAUCCUUUUUUAUUAUGUCCAACUAGGUUUCUGCUUAUUGUGGUUAAUUAUAUUCUUUGUGCUCUCCUUUUAUUCCGUGUCUUAACUAACACAAGGAAUUCAAAGUAUGAAAGGCAAGAUUUUUAUGACACUUUAUUUAUUUUGCCUCAUUAUAUUCAGAGCUCCAUUAUAGUUUUUACACUUUCUUUGUCCCAGAUUCAAUAGAUACAUUCUCUUAUACCAAAUAUUGGAGUUGUUUACAGGUUUGAUUUUGUAGUUAGAUGGUCUGUGAUUGACAGUCGGUUACCUGGAAGAACAAAGCGUUGUUUGAUAUUGUCUUCACUCCCUAUUUUUAUUUCUACCGUCUAAAAUUAAUGAUUGAUAAGGUACUUUUCUUAAAUUUUCUUAUUAGUGCAUAUUUUUUGGUGUUAGCAAAAUUGUGUCGAAUCCGUUAUAUGCCAUUUUUUGUUAUUGUAGAGCUCUGAAAAGUAUGGAAUAUUUUGUAGUAUGUAUAACUUUUAUCUAGCAUCAUCAAUCGGUUUCAUAUUCACUAUUUCCCUCCUCACUUUCCACUCUUAAGUUUUGUAGUCCACAGAAAAGACUAGUGAAUGGGGUGUAUUCCACUCUAUCAAGAUAGUUUAAGCUUCAUAUGUGUAGCUCAAUGGGGUCUAUUCCACUCUAUUAAAAAAAACGAACUUACUUCCGUAUCACAGUUAGGUAUACUUUUAAUAUGUUAUCAUGUGUGGCCCAUUCGUUUAGCUUUUCCCUUUUUUUCCUAUUUUUGUGAUUUGGGUAACAUUUCUUGUGAUUAAUCGGUGAAAUUUAUCUUUAAUGAGCCGAUCUUUUCAAGUGGGGCUUCCAUGAAAGGUAUUAUUUAUGGGUUGUGAGGUAUUGAAAUCUGUUCUUAAGAGAAUAUUUUUUCCUAUCCCGUUGUGUCCUUGGCUCUUUUUUAAGAUUUAAUGUGGAAGUUUGGUCUUAGUUUUUUUUUGUUUUGGAUGCUUGUAUCCAAAUGGGUUCGAAAGUCCCCACUCCUGGGAUGUCUUGUACUGUACUUUUGAAAUCAUAAUUCUGUUUGGGACAUGUACAAUCUCUAGAUUGUGUACCUUAGCGACAAUCAACUAGAUAGGUACAUGCUUUUCAUACCAAGUGAGAAGCAAUCAUCCAUGAGCUUUUCAUCAACAAUUGGAUUUGUCAAAAGAACCAGCCAUAUCGACCAGCAUCAAGCGCCCACCAACAGUCGGCACAUCAAGGAUUAUCUAUGCUUCUGGAGACAGGGGAAACCAGUGUUGAUCUUUCAUUCAUCUGCAGAAGAUAGUUCAUUUCCGCAAUUGUUGCAUCUUGCUUCACUUUUUGGAAUAGUAAAAUGCAAGUGUUAAUCUUGAAGAAAUGGCCAUUCAUAAGGCAAUUUGUUUCCCUGCUCCCUUCAAUCUCAUUUCUAAUACAUGUUAUCAAGUAAAAGGCAUUGUUUAUAUUUGUUUUAGUACACUUUCUGCUGUACCUGUAGGGGUUUAUUUUCAGUUUCUUUUCUUCUUUUUUUUCUUUGUUUUGUUUUGUUUUUGUUUUCAUUGCAAGAAGGUUCAUCAGGCAAUCGUUUUGGCCAAAGUUGGAAUGUUAUUUCCUGCGGAACUUCAAGUUCCACCUCUUAGGUAGAAAAGAACGAUUCAAGGUUAGGGAAAAUGAAAAGGAGAUUUUAUUAUUUGUGCA